rnacentral:tRNA from 1 species
CGGGGAGUGGCUCAGUUUGGUAGAGCGUCUUGUUUGGGACCAGAAGGUCGUGGGUUCGAAUCCCACCUCCCCGA